rnacentral:rRNA from 1 species
GGCAGAGGGUGCAAACGUUGUUCGGAAUUACUGGGCGUAAAGAGCGCGCAGGCGGUCGUUCAAGUCGAGUGUGAAAGCCCCCGGCUCAACUGGGGAGGGUCAUUCGAUACUGAUCGACUCGAAGGCAGGAGAGGGAAGCGGAAUUCCCGGUGUAGUGGUGAAAUGCGUAGAUAUCAGGAGGAACACCGAUGGCGAAGGCAGGUCGUCUGGGCUGACACUGACGCUCAUGCACGAAAGCGUGGGGAGCAAACAGG